CGCCACCAUUUUGUGCCACCCUUUUUGCCCCCUGCCGCCAUUUUGUGCCACUGUCUUGCCCCCGCCACCAUUUGCUGCUGCUGUUUUGUCCCCUGCCGCCAUUUUGUGCCACGAUGUCACCCUGCCGCCAUUUUGCGCUGCUGUUUCGCCCCCCGCUGCCAUUUUGCGCCGCUAUUUCUCCCCUCCGUCGCCAUUUUGCCCCGUGCUGCCAUUUUGCCCCACCAUUUUGCCCCACGGUGCCAUUUGGCGCCACCAUUUCGCCCCCUGCCACCAUUUUGUGCCACCAUUUCCUCCUCCACCACCAUUUUGUGCCCUCGUUUCACCCCCGCCACCAUUUUGUGCCUUCGUUUCGCCCCUUGCCACCAUUUUGUGCCUUCGUUUCACCCCCUGCCGCCAUUUUGCACCACCGUUUCGCCCCGGCUGCCAUUUUGUGCCCUCGUUUCACCCCUUGCCAUCAUUUUGUGCCCUCCUUUCGCCCCCCCCGCCGCCAUUUUGCACCACUGUUUCGCCCCGGCUGCCAUUUUGUGCCCUCAUUUCGCCCCCCGCCACCAUUUUGUGCCCUCGUUUCGCCCUUUGCCGCCAUUUUGCACCACCGUUUCUCCCCGGCUGCCAUUUUGUGCCCUCAUCUCCCCCGCCGCCGCCAUUUUGCGCCGUUGCCGUUGCGCCGCUGACGGCGCGGUGCCGCCGCCGCUCCCUUGGUCCCCGCCGCAGGCUUCUUCCUCCUGGGGGGCGCCUGCGUGGCGCAGGGCAGCGCCUCGUCGCUGCUGAGCCUGCUGCGGCUGC
rnacentral:lncRNA from 1 species